rnacentral:snoRNA from 1 species
ACUCUCCAGAGACCUUACCCAUUAGACCUAAACGCUGGUCUGAGUGAUUAUAAAAGGGGGAAAAAUAAAAUUGUGAGGGAAGG